GAUGAAGAACGCAGCGAAAUGCGAUAAGUAAUGUGAAUUGCAGAAUCCAGUGAAUCAUCGAAUCUUUGAACGCACAUUGCGCCCGCCAGCAUUCUGGCGGGCAUGCCUGUUCGAGCGUCAUUUCAACCCUCGACCUCCCUUUGGGGAAGUCGGCGUUGGGGACCGGCAGCACACCGCCGGCCCUGAAAUGGAGUGGCGGCCCGUCCGCGGCGACCUCUGCGUAGUAAACCAACUCGCACCGGAACCCCGACGUGGCCACGUCGUAAAACACCCAACUUCUGAACGUUGACCUCGAAUCAGGUAGGACUACCCGCUGAACUUAAGCAUAUCAAUAAGCGGAGGA
rnacentral:misc_RNA from 1 species